CCCGAUUCAUUGUGAGCCAUGGUUAGCAUAUCUUAAACACUCUCUUUUGCGUCGUUGUGAGCUUUCUUCACAACCUUCAAAUGCUUUAACAUCGACAUUCUUCAUUUAACGCCUAAAGCAUCACAAUUAACCAUUAAGCUCAAAUUAACACAAAAUCACCACUACUCUACACAACUUUUACAAUAAAAUAUGACUAAACU
rnacentral:lncRNA from 1 species